rnacentral:lncRNA from 1 species
ACACCACAGCUCACGGCAAUGCCGGAUCAUUAACCCACUGAGCAAGGGCAGGGACCAAACCCGCAACCUCAUGGUUCCUAGUCGGAUUCGUUAACCACUGCGCCACGACAGGAACUCCUAGAUGUACUUUCUAAAGAGCUGGAAUUUAACAGCCUGGCAAUAACUCCAGGUGAUAGGGCAAGCUUGCUGAUGGGGUGGCUUUUAGAGAAAUGUGAAAAAUAAUGGCCAACUCUCAGCAAAUAGAAGUGCCAAUAUUGUUCUGGCAGAUAGCAGAAGAAGGGAUAAUGAGGCUGAGGAAAGUGAGUACACUGAAUGAGCAAGUUACAUAAGGACAGCAUAGUCAAAAAGACAUACCUUUCACCAAGACUACCAGGAACGUGCUGGUAAGAACGGCACUGGAAUAAGCCAAAAGCUCAGUGACGGUUCUUCACAGGUCAGUGAUGGUGAGAGGAAUGUUUACAGAGCUAAGCUUUUUAACAAGUGUAACAACGCCCUCCAAGUAACAGAAGCCAGGUGAUGGCAUUUAAUUGCCAGAGUUAGGUGGCUUCAAUUAUCAUAAUGAUAGGCUAAGUUGGAGAGACAGUCAAGGACUUUAACCUGCUGAGUUGUGGAAAUGGUUAAUAGAGCAUGGCAUCCUUAUAGGCAGAAGUGAUGGGCAGCCAACAAUAUUUCUACUUGACAUCCAAAAUAAAACAACAAAAAAUGUACAAGAACACAAAAGUGAAAGAGCAAGAAAGGGUGCUAGAGCAGGUCCAGGCUGUGAGGCCAUCAGCCCCACCAUGUGGGUCAUACAAUAUUUCUUAGUGUUGGAGGAUCCAGCAGAUCCUAUAGUGUCGGAAAAGGUGCAAUGUGGAAUUUAUGGCAAGCUCCAGUGGAUAAUCACAACACAGGCCUCUGGAAGUCUGGAGUGAGGCAGAGAGUCAUUCAUUCUUUGAAAAAUAUCAUCCUAACACAUACUACAUGAUUCAGAGGCAGCCAGCCUCAUAGAAUGGUAGACUAUACCUCUAUGUGCAACUGAAGUAACAGUGCUGAGGAAACACUCUCAAAGGCUGAGGUAUGUUUGUCAAAUCAGAGACCCCUAUAUGGUGCUUGGUCCCAAGUAGGAAAGAUACUUGGGUAAAACCACGGAGGGGCCAUUAACUCACUGAAGGAUUUUGUGCUUCCUAUCCUCACACUUUUGAAUUCUGCCAGGGAAUAUACCACAGGUCCCAUCAAGCUAUAAGUGAGGACUACCAUCUGGAAACUUGUGAAACCUGGUGCCUAUGGAUCAACAGGAGAAAACAGGAGCCUGGUUAUUGGCAGGAGUAAUAGAUUCCGAUCAUCAAAAUGAUGUACGGCUGCUUGCGCAUGGGGAGAGAGGGAAGAAUGAAUGAGGAGGUAUUUGGGUCCUAAUAUUUCCUUGCCUUACUGUAAAAAUGAACAGUCAUGUGAAGGAACCUGGACUGUAAAAAUUCUAAUAAUCGCGGGUUGAGAUAUUUCAGGAAUUAAUGUUGACUUCAUACAACCAGCCAAGCCACCAAGACCUUCUGAGGGAAUCAGUGAGAAUGACAGGAAUUUAGAAUGAAGAGUGGAGAAGGGAAAGGAGCACUGGUGACAAGCCAGGGAUCAACUCCAGUGGUGGGAGCUUUAGUUCAUUCCACAGACCUCCUUAGAUUUUGCUCAGGAAAACAUGGAAGAGCUGCUUCUGGACCUACGGAGAGAAACAUACCUGAAUGGUUCAAGGGUCUCAGAGUGGUGGUCAGGAGAAUGAGCUUUGGAGACCCACCACUUCAGGGAGUGUAAUUGACCAAGGAUCCCAGCUCUGGUGCUCUGAAAGCCAGAACUAACUGCAUUUAUGCUGAGACCAUGGACUGCUCCCAGCUAAUACUGAGAGUGGUAGGAAUACUAAAGAGACACAGGAUACCACUGAUGGGCAAUUUUAGUGUGAAAGCACUCUCCGACAGUUUUGCCAAACUUCCUUUAGACUUUGGGGCUGUCUAGAACACCAGCGGCUAACCUCUCUUCCUUCCCUUUACUCAGGAUCAGAUUUGCACGUGGUUUUAUUACUGUCCCAGCUUUAUCCAGCUUCCUUGCUGUUUUACUUCAAGCAGCUAUUCCUCCUAAUAAAAUCCUUGAACAUUUAAUCUCAUUUUGUUAUAUGCUUUCUAAGGGCCUCUAUGAUGUCCUUCUAUGUUGCUGAAGUUGAGUUUUGUAAAUAAGCCUUAGGUCUUUAACAUCAUAAGGAAAGUAUAGCAAACUAGUGAAAAGACUGUCUUAAAGACAUGGCAAAUAAGUGAGGGUAGGAGAGUGUGACCAUAUGAUAGCACAUUAAAAAAAAAUGUAGGUGGUGAUAUUUAUUCCACUGCAAUUGUACAAACUGUGGCUGAAUGGCAUCACCAGAGGGAUACAGAAUCCAAGCAUUCUUAUCUAUCUAUAAAAGGCGACCUAAGAAGACAAGCUGGAGGAAGGUGUCUAAGACAGACUGCUGUAUGGCACAACCAAAAGGUAGUCAAAAUUGUUUUCCAAUACUUCAUCUCUUCAGAAAUUAAGGAGGAUUGAAUCCACAUUCCAUAUCAACACCAGGUAAAAUAUCCCACUCCACCAGUUCCUUGCCAUUUAUACUUCAGUCUCCCUUCUCAUAACCCUCUUUCCAACUGCUCCACAACCAUCUUACACAGGUUUCCUGCCACCUGCUAUGACCAGGUUCCCCACUUUGUUCUUUGCCCUCUUCACCCAUUUUCAUUACUUUCAUUACAACAGAUUCUUGACCAAGGUUGAAAAUGUUUCCCCAAAAUUCAUUUUAUUUUUAUGAAAGAUAUUACUAAUAUCAUUACAAAGGACUUCUAUAUGGUUAAAAAAGACAGUGACUUGUUUGAUAAUCUAAGAGUUCAUCCUAGAAGUCUUCAAGUGAAGGUAAUCUCCCCAAUGCCUUAGAAUUUUCAUUUCCAAUGAAUCUAAGUCUUCCCUACAUAAAACAUUUAGGAGGUUUUCUUUUUAAAAGAGGGAAAAUGAUUAGCCAUAGAUGUUUCUAUAUCAGUGUAGAGAACUGACAGUUUUUGAAAGUCCUUUAACCAAGUGAUUGUUUUAUUUACAUUUCCUUAUUUUCUUCUUCAGCAAAGAGCUAAUGGUAAGCUUCAGUCUGUCAAAAGUGUCAAAUUCUGAAUCAUCAGUGUCAGAAAUAAUGGUAUUUUUUUCACUUAUAAAGUUGUUUUCUUUUGGUUUGUUAUGUUUCCAAAAAUGAGAGUUUUCCAGGAUUCAGAAUUCAAAAAGUUUAGCGUAAUUGUUUUGAAUUAAAUCACCACUAUCAAAGGUUUCCAAUGUUAAUAUUUUCCUGUCAAUCAAGAAAGGUAUAGUUUUGGGGAAUCAUUCAUUUUAGGUCUUCAUCAAUAUAAGCAGAAAAUGUGGAAAAAAAAGAAAUGUUCUUUUUCUUUCUCCAAGCAUAACUUUUUAUUCAUGGUUUCCUCACAUCUGCACUUAUCGCUUUAAAGUUCCACUUAAGGUAUAAUAGAGAGGUCUCCAUGCAAUAAGCUAAGAAUUCUGAAACUCAGUCAUAAUUCAUUUCCUUUAUCAGAUAUCUCUUUUAAAGGUAAGCUCUAAGUCAAAAAUAAAUUUCAUAAUACUUUUAUAUUUACUGAAGCUGUUGUGAUGACAGAAAUUACUUCUAAAUACUUUGAAUUACUUUUAUCUACUAUAAAAAUGUUACAUGCCUUUUUCUUUCUUAACCAAACUUAUCAGCCAUUGUCAAUGCAGCAAAAGUUAGAGCUGAAUGCUGUAUUUUUAAUAGAAAUUUCACAAGUGGCACAAAGAUAUUUUUUAAACUUAUCAAAAUUAUUACAGUUUAUGGAAAUACAGUUUCUCAGAUCAACAGUAAGCAGUGUAUAUAGGUAAUAUUUAUAUAUGUAAUAUAUAUAUAUAAAUUACAUAUUAUAUACUUAAGAACUGUCAGACUACAGCAUCCAUUACAACAUAUGGACGUAUGAUGAAUUUGUCAGUUGAUAAAAGAGGUCAGUCACUUGUAUUUCUUCCUUCUAUUCUUUUUUCUAGAGUCACGUAAAUAACUUAAGGUAGAGAUCUAGCAUAACAUUAAUUUCCUUUGCAUUACCUUCUUGAUUUCCCAUGAAAUUAAGGCUUGUGUUCCUUCUAGAACAUCCCUAAAAUUCUUUGACUUUUCAUGUACUAUUUUGAUUGUUUCUGAAGGAAUUAUUGGGGCCCAUAAUAUGUAUCCAUGCUGCACAUCUAAAGAUACAUUGUAUAUACUGUGUUGAUAUGUAUUAUUGAUAUUAAGUGUUUAUAUAGUAUUGUGUUGAUUCAAACACUUUAUAAGAAAAGCUGAAACAUGUAGGUUGUAAAACUAUCAUAACUAUUUUUAUCUUUUGCUUGUAUGUAUAUUCUAUGAGCUCAAUUUUUUUUUAAAGCAACAUACUUUAUUCAAAGAAUGAUUAAUUCAAUGUUAAAAUUGCUUCUGUCUUCUUAAAGAAGGCAUUAUUAUGCUUUUAUGCAGGAGAGCAAAGAUCCUUAUAUAACAGUUUCUCUUCCUCUUCAAUGCCCCUCCCACCCAAUAAAUGCACACAAAUCUUUUGAUUUGAAGUGGAAGUUUAAACAAAUUCAUUUAUCUCCUCUAUUUCCUGAGAUAUAUUAAAGUGAAAGAAGGAAAAAAAUGAUAUAAAUUCAUAAAUGAACAGGUGAAGGGCCUCAGUAAUUAAGGAAUUAUAACACAUUUUUGGAAGAUACAGAGCAGACAGGGAAAAAAAAAAAAACAAAGGAAGAUAUUACCUGGGGAAAGUGAAAAGGCAGUAGAACCAUAAAGGGAGAUUGUCUUCUCUUUAUAAUCUCAGAACACUGGGAACAUUUAUAAUCUCAGAACAUUUCUGAACAUAAGAAACAUCAGCUAAGAGGGGAUAUAGAUAGGAGACUGGGUGCUAAAAAUGCAUUAAUUAAAAUUCUAUAUAAGGAAGACUCACUGGAUGACCUAAACAUAAAUCAUUCCCCUAAUUUGGGUGUGGAAUGCCAGGCAGAUAAAAGUCCAGCUGUCAAUAAAUAAGUCAACAAAUUAAGUUAAAUCUGCAGUAUCCUCUCUAUAGAAAUUGAAAAUAUUGAGUGUCUUAGUUUAGACUGCUAUAACAAUGUACCAUAGAUAGUUGGUUUAUCAAUGAUGAAAACUUAUUUCUCACAGUCCUCAGACUGGAAGUCUGUAAUCAGAAUGCCAGCAUGACCAGGUUCUGGUGAGAGUCCUCUUCCAGGUUAUGGGCUCACUUCUCCUUAUAACCUCACAGGAGAUAAGAGCAAGCUUAAGAAAGAGAGCUAGAGAGCUCUCUGGCGUCCCUUUCAUAAGGACAUUAAUCCUAUUUAUGAGAGAUUCACCUUUAUGACCUAAUUACCUCCCAAAGAUCUUAUCUCCUAAUACCAUCACAUUUGGGGUCAGGAUUUCAACAUAUGAAUUUGGGGGAUGGGGUGGGCAGGGACAGAAAUAUUCAGUCCAUUGCAUUGAGAUCAAGUCAUUUUGGUGACUUCGGAGAAUUGGUUAAUUCUCUGCAUCUACAUCAUAAAGCAAAAAUAAAGCUAAAGGAUUGGCUAUUCUUACUGUCUCCAUGUCCUAACUUGUCAUUCUCUCUUGAACCUAUUCCAUGAAACAGCUUUUGACAAGGUCACCAAAGACCACUAUAUUUUAAAAUUUGAUGGUCAGAGUUAUUUCUUUUUUUUUGGCGGGGCGGGGAUGGGGACUGGUGUCUUUCUUGUGAGCCCUGAUAGGUACUCUCUACUUCCUUGGAUUUCAAGACACCAUACUAUGCUGUUUAAUCUGUUCCCUUGAUUUCAAGACACCAUACCAUGCCGGUUAAUCUGCUCCCUUACUAGCUUGUCCUUCUCGGUGUCCUGGAUGGAUUCUACUCUUACCAACUCCUAAGCAUUGCUAUGCCUUUAAGCUCAGCACUGAGACAUCUUCUAUCUGUACUCUCUCCAUAGGUGACCUCCUGUGGCCACAUUCAACAAACAGCCAUGAUUUAAACAAAAUAUUUUUUUUAUUACUGAAAUGAAUUUAUCACAUCUGUAGUUGUAUAAUGAUCAUAACAAUCUGAUUUCACAGGAUUUCCAUCCCACAGCCCAAGCACAUCCCCCCACCCCCCAAACUGUCUCCUCUGGAGACCAUAAGUUUUUCAAUGUCUGUGAGUCAGCAUCUGUUCUACAAAGAAGUUCAGUCUGUCCUUUUUUCAGAUUCUACAUGUCAGUGAAAGCAUUUGAUGUCGGUGUCUCAUUGGAUGGCUGACUUCACUUAGCAUGAUAAUUUCUGGGUCCAUCCAUGUUGCUAAAAAUUCUGGUAUUUUGUUCCUUUUAAUGGCUGAGUAAUAUUCCAUUGUUUAUAUGUACCACUUCUUCCUGAGCCACUCCCCUGUCGAUGGACAUUUAGGUUGUUUCCAUGUCUUGGCUAUUGCAAAUAGUGCUGAAAAUGAACUGUAGGUACAUGUGUCCUUGCGAGUCGUGGUUUUCUCUGGAUAGAUGCCCAGGAGUGGGAUUGCUGGUUCAAAUGGGAGUUCUAUUUUUAGUUUUCUGGGGCAUCUCCAUACUGUUUUCUACAGGGGUUGCACCAAUUCACAAUCCCACCAACAGUGUACUAGGGUUCCUUUUUCUCCACACCCUCUCCAGCACUUAUUGUUUGUAGACUUUUGGAUGAU